rnacentral:rRNA from 1 species
GACCUCCGAUCAAGCAAGAGGACCCGCUGAAUUUAAGCAUAUAACUAAGCGGAGGAAAAGAAACUAACCAGGAUUCCCCCAGUAACGGCGAGUGAAGCGGGAAGAGCUCACGUUGUAAAUCUGCCUUCGGGCCGAAUUGUAGUCUGGAGAGGCGAGGCCAGCCGCGGCCGGGGGCGAAGUCUCUUGGAAAAGAGCAUCAAGGAGGGUGACAAUCCCGUUCUUGCCCCCACGCCGCGCGCGUACGGUCCGUUUUCUAAGAGUCGAGUUGCUUGGGAUUGCAGCUCAAAGCGGGUGGUAAAUUCCAUCUAAAGCUAAACACGGGUGGGAGACCGAUAGCGAACAAGUACCGUGAGGGAAAGAUGCAAAGAACUUUGAAAAGAGAGUUAAAGAGUGCCUGAAAUUGCUGAAAGGGAAGCGAAGGAAACCAGUGUCUGGCGUCGAAGCUUUCCCUCCGCCCCCCGGGGCUCUGGGUCGCGUCUUCGCCGUGGCCAGGGUCGGGUAUAGUUGCGGGAGCCUGCGCCGCGGGAGGUAGCCUCUCUUCGGAGGGUGAAUACCGCGGCGUGUCGUCGCGACUGUGGCCGGCUCUGACGAAAUGGUUUUCUUUACCCCGUCUUGAAACACGGACCAAGGAGUCUAACAUGCCCGCGAGUACAGGGGUGUUCAAACCCCCGUGCGCAGUGAAAGUGAAUGCAGGUGGGAAGCCGCAAGGUGGCACCAUCGACCGACCAUGUCCCUCCGGGGUCGAGGUUUGAGUGUGAGCGUGCAUGUUGGGACCCGAAAGAUGGUGAACUAUGCCUGAAUAGGGCGAAGCCAGGGGAAACUCUGGUGGAGGCUCGUAGCGAUUCUGACGUGCAAAUCGAUCGUGAGAUUUGGGUAUAGGGGCGAAAGACUAAUCGAACCAUCUAGUAGCUGGUUCCCUCCGAAAUUUCCCUCAGGAUAGCUGCAACCUGCGUUCAGUUUUAUCAGGUAAAGCGAAUGAUUAGAGGCUGCGGGGAAGCAACUUCCUCGCCCUAUUCUCAAACUUUAAAUGGGUAAGAGACCGGGGUCGCUUAAUUGGACCCUGUGUUGGAAUGAAGGUUGCUAGUGGGCCAGUCCGGGUAAGCUGGACUGGCGAUGCGGGAUGAACCGAACGCCUAGUUAAAGCGCCAAACUGCCCGCUCACCUAGAUCCCACAAAAGGUGUUGGUUCAUUUAGACAGCAGGACGGUGG